rnacentral:rRNA from 1 species
GACGAACGCUGGCGGCGUGCUUAACACAUGCAAGUCGAACGAAGAGCGAUGGAAGCUUGCUUCUAUCAAUCUUAGUGGCGAACGGGUGAGUAACGCGUAAUCAACCUGCCCUUCAGAGGGGGACAACAGUUGGAAACGACUGCUAAUACCGCAUACGAUCUAAUCUCGGCAUCGAGGAUGGAUGAAAGGUGGCCUCUACAUGUAAGCUAUCACUGAAGGAGGGGAUUGCGUCUGAUUAGCUAGUUGGAGGGGUAACGGCCCACCAAGGCGAUGAUCAGUAGCCGGUCUGAGAGGAUGAACGGCCACAUUGGGACUGAGACACGGCCCAGACUCCUACGGGAGGCAGCAGUGGGGAAUCUUCCGCAAUGGACGAAAGUCUGACGGAGCAACGCCGCGUGAGUGAUGACGGCCUUCGGGUUGUAAAGCUCUGUUAAUCGGGACGAAAGGCCUUCUUGCGAAUAGUGAGAAGGAUUGACGGUACCGGAAGAGAAAGCCACGGCUAACUACGUG